AAAAUAAUGAGUAUUGUACAUUAAAUAAAUCACCGGUAUAAAAACUAAAUUUUCCCUAUAUCCAAUAAUACUUUUCAAAGUUUCUGUCAACGAUAUACCUAAACGACGGUAGCGAAUUAUAUGUCCGGUUUUUCAAAUAUAAGUUUAUUACGUUAUGUAGUUUCAAUUUUCGGAUUUGUUGUAUAAUAAUUAUACCGCCCUCCAAGUGAAAUCAACAGUAUCUUCAUUGUUUACCUCUACAUCACUUUACCUAUACACAUUGCUUUGUCUUUAAGUUAUUUCACAUGCAUGUAUAUUGUAUAUCUUCUAUUUGUCUCUAGUAUUUGAUAAUAUUUUGGACGAGACGACAUUUUAUAAUGCAUUUUAAAAGUAUUUCUAAAGCAGUUACUGUAUUUUUCCCAAGGAAAAAAAAAUAAGUAGAAUUCUCCAAUUACACCGAAUACGAAAUAACCUCA